GACGAACGCUGGCGGCGUGCUUAACACAUGCAAGUCGAGCGGUAAGGCUCCUUCGGGAGUACACGAGCGGCGAACGGGUGAGUAACACGUGAGUAAUCUGCCCUUCACUUUGGGAUAAGCCUCGGAAACGAGGUCUAAUACCGAAUACGACCACUUCCUGCCUGGGUUGGUGGUGGAAAGUUUUUUCGGUGGAGGAUGUGCUCGGGGCCUAUCAGCUUGUUGGUGGGGUAAUGGCCUACCAAGGCUUCGACGGGUAGCCGGCCUGAGAGGGUGACCGGGCACACUGGGACUGGGGCACGGCCCAGACUCCUACGGGAGGCAGCAGUGGGGAACAUUGGACAAUGGGCGCAAGCCUGAUCCAGCCAUGCCGCGUGUGUGAAGAAGGCCUUCGGGUUGUAAAGCACUUUCAGUAGGGAGGAAGCGUUGUGUGUUAAUAGUACACAGCGUUGACGUUACCUACAGAAGAAGCACCGGCUAACUC
rnacentral:rRNA from 1 species